GCUCCCAUGCUUAGUGGUCAUUGCGCCCGCCUUGCACGCGGGAGACCCGGGUUCGAUUCCCGGCGGGGUCA
rfam:Asian citrus Psyllid, Diaphorina citri - Florida Strain, whole genome shotgun sequence.